rnacentral:rRNA from 1 species
UGGGGAAUUUUGGACAAUGGGCGAAAGCCUGAUCCAGCAAUGCCGCGUGAGUGAAGAAGGCUUUCGAGUUGUAAAGCUCUUUUGUCAGGGAAGAAACGGUGAAAGCUAAUAUCUUUUGCUAAUGACGGUACCUGAAGAAUAAGCACCGGCUAACUACGUGCCAGCAGCCGCGGUAAUACGUAGGGUGCAAGCGUUAAUCGGAAUUACUGGGCGUAAAGCGUGCGCAGGCGGUUUUGUAAGUCUGAUGUGAAAUCCCCGGGCUCAACCUGGGAAUUGCAUUGGAGACUGCAAGGCUAGAAUCUGGCAGAGGGGGGUAGAAUUCCACGUGUAGCAGUGAAAUGCGUAGAUAUGUGGAGGAACACCGAUGGCGAAGGCAGCCCCCUGGGUCAAGAUUGACGCUCAUGCACGAAAGCGUGGGGGAGCAAACAGGAUUAGAUACCCUGGUAGUCCACGCCCUAAACGAUGUCUACUAGUUGUCGGGUCUUAAUUGGCUUGGUAACGCAGCUAACGCGUGAAGUAGACCGCCUGGGGAGU